UACGAAGGGGGCUAGUGUUGUUCGGAAUCACUGGGCGUAAAGCGCACGUAGGCGGAUCUUUAAGUCAGAGGUGAAAUCCCAAGGCUCAACCUUGGAACUGCCUUUGAUACUGGGGAUCUUGAGUCCGGGAGAGGUGAGUGGAACUGCGAGUGUAGAGGUGAAAUUCGUAGAUAUUCGCAAGAACACCAGUGGCGAAGGCGGCUCACUGGCCCGGUACUGACGCUGAGGUGCGAAAGCGUGGGGAGCGAACAGG
rnacentral:rRNA from 1 species